GACGAACGCUGGCGGCGUGCUUAACACAUGCAAGUCGAACGGAAAGGCCCUGCUUUUGUGGGGUGCUCGAGUGGCGAACGGGUGAGUAACACGUGAGUAACCUGCCCUUGACUUUGGGAUAACUUCAGGAAACUGGGGCUAAUACCGGAUAGGAGCUCCUGCUGCAUGGUGGGGGUUGGAAAGUUUCGGCGGUGGGGGAUGGACUCGCGGCUUAUUAGCUUGUUGGUGGGGUAGUGGCUUACCAAGGCGUUGACGGGUAGCCGGCCUGAGAGGGUGACCGGGAACAGUGGAACUGAGACACGGGCGAGAGGCGUAGGGGAGGCAGAAGUGGGGAAUAUGGGAGAAUGGGCGAAAGCCUGAUCCAGGCAUGGGGCGUGGGUGAAGAAGGUCUUCGGCUUGUAAAGCCGUUUAAGGGGGGAGGAAGGGAAGUAAGUUAAUACCAGGAUGUUUUGACGGUACCAACAGAAGAAGCACAGGGUAACGUCGU
rnacentral:rRNA from 1 species